rfam:Armatimonadetes bacterium RBG_16_67_12 RBG_16_scaffold_31573, whole genome shotgun sequence.
CCUCCGAAACGGCAACCUCGGAGCGAUCCGAAGGGCGCAAAGUUUCAGGGCCAGGCGUAACGCCGGGUCGGCUGGACUGCCGAA